UACGUAGGGGGCAAGCGUUGUCCGGAAUCAUUGGGCGUAAAGAGCGUGUAGGCGGUCCGGUAAGUCGGCUGUGAAAGUCCAGGGCUCAACCCUGGGAUGCCGGUGGAUACUGUCGGGCUCGAGUCCGGAAGAGGAGUGUGGAAUUCCUGGUGUAGCGGUGAAAUGCGCAGAUAUCAGGAGGAACACCAAUGGCGAAGGCAGCACUCUGGGACGUGACUGACGCUGAGACGCGAAAGCGUGGGGAGCGAACAGG
rnacentral:rRNA from 1 species